GGCGUGCCUAAUACAUGCAAGUCGAGCGAAUGGAUUAAGAGCUUGCUCUUAUGAAGUUAGCGGCGGACGGGUGAGUAACACGUGGGUAACCUGCCCAUAAGACUGGGAUAACUCCGGGAAACCGGGGCUAAUACCGGAUAACAUUUUGAACCGCAUGGUUCGAAAUUGAAAGGCGGCUUCGGCUGUCACUUAUGGAUGGACCCGCGUCGCAUUAGCUAGUUGGUGAGGUAACGGCUCACCAAGGCAACGAUGCGUAGCCGACCUGAGAGGGUGAUCGGCCACACUGGGACUGAGACACGGCCCAGACUCCUACGGGAGGCAGCAGUAGGGAAUCUUCCGCAAUGGACGAAAGUCUGACGGAGCAACGCCGCGUGAGUGAUGAAGGCUUUCGGGUCGUAAAACUCUGUUGUUAGGGAAGAACAAGUGCUAGUUGAAUAAGCUGGCACCUUGACGGUACCUAACCAGAAAGCCACGGCUAACUACGUGCCAGCAGCCGCGGUAAUACGUAGGUGGCAAGCGUUAUCCGGAAUUAUUGGGCGUAAAGCGCGCGCAGGUGGUUUCUUAAGUCUGAUGUGAAAGCCCACGGCUCAACCGUGGAGGGUCAUUGGAAACUGGGAGACUUGAGUGCAGAAGAGGAAAGUGGAAUUCCAUGUGUAGCGGUGAAAUGCGUAGAGAUAUGGGAGGAACACCAGUGGCGAAGG
rnacentral:rRNA from 1 species